rnacentral:tRNA from 1 species
GCCUAGCUGGCUCAGUUGGUGGAGCAUGGGACUUUUGAUUGUGGGGUUGUGGGUUUGAGGCUCACGUUGGGUG